rnacentral:RNase_P_RNA from 1 species
UUCUAUCGCUGUCCCGAUCUUGUGUUGGGAUUGAGGAAAGUCCGGGCAACGCAGGGCGCCAUGCUUCCUAACGGGAAGACGGGUGAAAGCUUGUUUCAGCGUAACAGAAAAUAACCGUCCCGAUCUCGUAUCGGGAUAAGGGUGAAAAGGUGAGGUAAGAGCUCACCGGUUCCGGAGGCGACUUCGGAAGCCGUACGCAUCAUGGGUUGCAAGACCAAAUAUAUCACGGUUGGCAUUAUGCCGGCAGGGUUGCCCGCCCUGUUCUGUCCUUUGGGGCAGUCUCGAACUUGUUCGGGAGUCGUGAGGGGUAGGUUGCUAGAUCGUAACAGCAAUGUUGCGGCCAGAUAAAUGAUAGAAGCUCAGCUUCGGUUGAGUACAGAACCCGGCU